CAGUAGCCGCGGUAAUACGUAGGGUGCAAGCGUUAAUCGGAAUUACUGGGCGUAAAGCGUGCGCAGGCGGUUAUAUAAGACAGAUGUGAAAUCCCCGGGCUAAACCUGGGAACUGCAUUUGUGACUGUAUAGCUAGAGUACGGCAGAGGGGGAUGGAAUUCCGCGUGUAGCAGUGAAAUGCGUAGAUAUGCGGAGGAACACCGAUGGCGAAGGCAAUCCCCUGGGCCUGUACUGACGCUCAUGCACGAAAGCGUGGGGAGCAAACAGGAUUAGAUACCCCAGUAGUCCCUGUCUCUUAUAC
rnacentral:rRNA from 1 species